GUCAGGAUGGCCGAGCGGUCUAGGGCCAGACUCAAGUAGUUACGCCAGACUCAAGUUCUGGUCCACUGAUGUGGGCGUGGGUUCGAAUCCCACUCCUGACA